UCUUCGGAUCGAAAUUUCUGUUACAUUCUUACAGACUUCACUUAGUUUAAGACAUUUUUAAUGUAAAAAAAAAUUAAUAAUACAGAUAUCCUCCACUGUGCCAUGAUUUGAAUUUCCCAAACAUUGGGAAAACUUUGAAGUAGCUCUUCUAUUAUUUUUUCCAUUUCAGUAAUAUUUUCCCCUUUCCUCUUAAGGAAGAGAUUAAUGUUAUUUUCCAUUCCCUGACGGGGCUGCUAGUAAUAGGGCAUUUAAGAACAGACAUUGGAGAAAGGUUGCAGGGCCUGGGGUCAGGGACCAACACCCCCGAGGUCUACAUUCACUGUCUCUUUACGUCGUCAUGUACCCAAAGUGAAAUCACUUCACUCCAAGAAGCAGGGCCAGGUGACAGUCUGAUUAUUAGGGGACCGGAUUAUAGGAGACACCUGAGUGCUGGUCUCAGAAACCUGUGCGUAGUAGGACUCUGAUUCCGUGGGAGGUCUGGGUCGGUGUGCAGCAUGGCUCAACUGUGCUACUGUGACCUCCUGAGGCACCAGCAGGCCCAGGCCGUGGGCAGCCUUCUCGCUGUGUGUUCACACCCAUCAGAUGAAUGGCCGCAGUUAUUCUGUUGGAAGUGGCUUUAGGAAAAAUAAUCAAAAACCAGCUGCCUUUCUAACAUCGCAGCUCUUUUGUGGCAAGAAACGGCUUAGUCUCAUCCUUCUCUUCUGAAAUCAGUAGAUUUUAAAGAUGUCUUUGAUAUAUUUCUUGGAUUUAGGAGUAAGAAUAAUCAUACUAUUUCCUGCAAGUUAUUGGGCACUUGCUACAUACUUUAUAUUUAUUUUCUCAACAAGCUAAUAAAUGGCAAACCCAGGAUCUGGACCCCAGUCUGUCUGAGUCAAAGCCCUAGCCCUGACCACAACCUGUGGCACUUGCCAGAUGUCAAGACACGUAGAAGACAAGCACUCUUACCAAGGGAGGCAGUGCAUCGGCCCGGCCAGCCUUGGGGAUAAGCCGCCACCAGUCCCACAGCUCUUGAGGGCAUCUCCAGAUGCCUGCCACUAAGCUCGCAGCUCCACCCAUUGGCAUUCAUUUAUUCGAUUUCCACUGCGCUCGCUCUGAGAAAUCUCUUCAAAAACAGAUGGCCAGGAUCAGGGCGGCGUCUUGUGCCAUCUGUGUCCUCUAAGAAAAAGACAGCCAGUGGGAUGAGGAAUGCAAGAGACUUGUGGGGGAACGUGUACGACCGCAUGCCAGGAUUCCGAACAUGGCACAUGGGUCAGGAGAUGCCCUCUGUGGCCCCCAAACACCAGCCGAAGCCUUUCCUACGGCGCACGCUGUCUGCUUACCUGUGUAUCUUCGCCAGGAGUCAACAAGGUCUUCAAGGUCAGGGACUCCACAGAAAACCCGUGUUCUCCCACAGACUCAGGGCACCGUUGCCCCGACCCAGCCCUCGUCCGAUGUGGCCCCGACGUCUGCAGUCGAGACUCCCGGGAAGAGGAAAGAGACGGCAGGCCCCCAAAGGGGAUAAGUGAGAACGGACCGCUAUGCAGGGGCCUGACAGAAGGAAGCUUCGCAUAAGUAAAACUCUGCCACUGCAGACAAGAGACAGUCACACGGUGUCAUCCUCACGCUCGUGAUAAGCACAGGUCUGAACGCGUGGAAGCCGAUCCAUCGUUCUCAAGCCUUGGAGGUUAGCCGUGAUAAUCCCUAUGACAGACAUGGGGAAACUGAGGACCAGACAGAGCUUCGUCUUCAGCAGCACCGUCCUUCUGAGAAAAUGUCCAAAUCAGCAUUCUCUUCCGGCCCCUUUCAAGCACAUCUGUUAAGGAGGUGACUUUUGGAAAGCCCCUAAGGAUGGGGUGGCUGUUUUCCAGGGUCCCCAACCAUGUGAGUAGAGGGUUGGAACUUUCAGCCGCCCCCCACAACCGGGGAGGGGAGAGAAGCCGGAGUUUGAGUUAAUAGGCAAUGGCCACUGAUCUCAUCAAUCAUACUUCAUACACGCCCUAAAUGAAGGCAUCCAGAAGCUUCGGAGUGGGUGACCACAUGGAGGAGCUGGGAGAGGGAUGUACCCUGAGGGGGCGUGGCAGCUCCGCCCUUCCCCCCCACACCUUGCCCUGUGGUCAGUGUGGGAAAAAAACCAGAAGUAGCAGCAGCGGUAGAGAGAGAAAUGGAGUUUUCUUUUUAGUGAUGUACUAGAAAAGGCACCGCGCCGAAUAAAUAGCUUAUCAUCAGCCGUUCUCUUCAAAUAGAACUUCUUCCUGGACUUUAGGAAGAUGAGAGCAUGCUUGGUAGGCCUGGGCCCUGGGUCCGCUUCCAAGCUCUGUGACCUUGGGUCAGUUCAUGACCCCUCGUGUGCCUCAGUUUCCUCACGAGUAAAAUAGUAACCUCCCUUAGAGGGUCGUUAGCAGGAUUAAAUGAGUUAGUAUUUGCAGAGUCCCUACCUGGCACUCGAUAAACAUUAUUUAAGUGCGUAUUUAAUAAAUAAGUGAACUGGGUGAGCUCGACAUUCCUUCAUGAGAGAAAAGUCAUGAUUCCUCAUUGCUCAGCCACUCGCUCAUGCCUUUAUAACCGAUCCCCGAACGCAUGGGAGCGAGACGUUCUCUUUACUGCUUCUCUCCUUUCCACCGUCCAGAAGAAAUUCCAGGAAUGAAAGCGUUUAUGAGAACCACAGACAUAUCACCACACAUCUCGCACGAGGGCUCGGCUCCAAUGCCUCCUUAAGGAAGAAAGGGCUGCACCCUUUACCCGAGUCCCGGGGGGCAUUCCACGGCUGAGAGAUAGAGGCUAAUGAUUCCCAGAGACCACUUUUUGAGAUUGUUGAACCGAUUCAUCAGUGUGUGCCGUGUGAGGUGGGUGGGAAGAUUUCACAGUCUGCUACCAAUUGUCUCCAACUGCCGGAGGAGAAUAUUCACUCACGGUGGCUGCCACGGAGGCCAUGAGGUCGUGGCAUGAUUUUUUUCUCUUGUCCUUACAAGGAAAUCUUUAAAACUUUCUUUAGACGGGGAACCAAAAAUAGUGACAAGGAGAAAGGGUUGCCAAAGAUGUGUCCUCUUCCCCCGCCUUUAUUUCAUUUAUAGUAAAAUCUUAAGUCUGUGAGAGCAGUUUCGCACAUCCCUCUCGCUAGACGCUGUUUAUGUCAAGGGGACCUUCGUGCUGCAUUUACUCCACGGCUGUCGGCAUAGCUCACGUUUAAAUAUCUAUAGCGACUACUACUACUUUCCGUUCAUUUUUACUAACCAGUAAUUUUUCAGAACGUUCAACUCACAUCUUUCGGUCUCAGCCGGAUGUCGCAGGAUUUCUGCAGUCUCCGGAAGAGGCAGCAGUGGGUAAGGCACACGGGCUCUGGUGGCGCGAACCUUGGGAACGUCACCUUGGGCCGCGAACCUUGGGAACGUCACCCGCCCCGUUUCCCCACUGAUGGAGCAUGAGAGACGGUGCCAGAGGCUCCUUUUCCUUCCUCACAGACCUCGAGAGAAACUCGCGUUAAACAGUCACGUAGAAGCGCUCGCAAGCGGUAUUGGAAAGUAACGUUUACGCUUCGCUUUAUACGUGUUCCCUAUAUGUAUAUUUCACAGUAAAUAAGGUUGCAAUGAUUGAAUCUGCAAAACAUAAAUAAUUGUUAACAUUUGCAAAACAAAAGAUGCCUAUUCAGACAUUACUCAGUAUCCUACCUAUUUAAAUAAAUAAACACAUAUAUUUUAUAUUUUACAUAUAUAGGCUAGAGUACUAGAAACAUAAGCCCUCUCCCUAGAGGCUGUAAACCUCUGAUUCAGCAUCUCUGAAACAGGAGAGCCUAGGAUCCAGAACACAGAUGGCGUUUUUUCCAGUGGACAUGUUCGUACGUCUCUUCCAUUCAUUUGGAUCGUUGCUUUGCUUCUGAAGGGAUUGGAAGGUCCCGAUGGGUGAAAUCCUGUUUGCGGGGGAGUGUGUUGGUUGCCCAUCAAACAUUUCUCGACCUGAGCCCCGGGUUUUAGCUGGGUGCGGAGGCCUGGCCACAGGAUGACAUCUCUCGUUUCCCUUCCAGUUUGGUGUGGCCGCGUGACUAAGUUCUGGGCCACUGAUAGGUAAAUGAGAGCAUUUGUGGGAUUUCCAGAGAGUUCCAUAAUACAGAGGAGUCACCCCCUGUUUCUUUCCUUCCUCCAUCCUGCUGUUUGGCAAGCGGCUGAGACAGCCGAAACCGCCACAGGAAUCCUGGACGCGAAGACGGUAGCCACAUCGAAGGGGAGGAUGCAGAGAAGACAAGAAGGGCUUUGUAUCUCUGGCGACAAAGGAGUCAACCUACGAACUCCCGACUACAUUGUUCUGGACUUGUCAGAUGCGCAAAAGAACUCAACUAUUUGGCUUAAAUCUUUUUUUUUUUGGUGGCAGGAAAAAGUCACUCUGUGACCCAUCAGUUUUAAAGACAAGUUAACAUCUUACCUGAAAUAAGAUGCCAAGAGGCAAAAUAUAUUGUCUGACGUGAUUACUUGGCAAUUUACUGGUGAUUUUGUGAUAAACCCUUCAACUCCUGAUUCCUGAUCUUUGGCCAACAAUAUGACUUCUAAAUAAGUGUUGGCCAGAACAGAGUAGAAUGGACAGAGUGGCUUUAAAAAAAAUCUUGUCCGAAGAAACAGAGAGUUAAGCAGAAGGACGGCAGAGCCAAAUCCGCCAUCCCUGGUCUGCUGAAGAUCCAGGCGGGGCACACGCAAGGAGGUGGGUGGAACACGCAGGCCAGCGAUGUACGCACAGCACCGAGGAAAUCUAGCUCAACGGUGUCAUACCUGGCUUUUGGGAAAUGAUGAGGUCAUUAGACACUCCACUAACAUUUACUGGACAACGUGAUAUUUUUGCACUGACAAAACCGACGGUCCCUUUGGGAGGGCCCGCUCGGCCCGCUCGUCAGAUCGUGUGGUGCUGUGCUGCCACCUUUCCUCACUCGCUCGGCAAGUGUCCGCGGAGUCCCUGGUGCCACGCGCUCUCCGUAUUCACACACUGCGCCGCCUUUGCUGACGCAGCUCCCCUCUCCUGGAUAACAUCUUUUCAGUCUUCCCUUAUUUAAAGCCGACGUUUCUCAGAGGCCCAAAUCUGGUCCCAGCAGGCUUCCCUGACCACCACGGCCCUCAGCGCCGGCUCCCUGCGAUGCUCCGCGCUCCCACGGUGUCUUGCACCCUUAGCAAAUGCCACCUUGAAUCUUCCUUCCAUUUGUUCGACUGUAGCAUGAGCGCCUCGAGUUCAGAGACAUAUCAUUGGUGCUUAAUAAAUGCUCAUGGAUGACAUAAUGUUCGUUUAGCACUCGACAUUAAUUAGGCACCUUCUGCAUGCCUCGCGCUGUACUAAGCACCAGUGGCAAGAAAAGAUGAAUAAGGCUCACAGGCCACUGGAAGAACAGGAGUGCGAACAAAUCAUUAUAAUUCAAGAUUAUUAAGCUACAAAAAGCUCGGAGAAAGUGCUAGAAAGUGAUUUAUCCCUGGCAAGUUCAAAAGGACUUCACGGAAGAAGCCGCAUCCCACCCAGCUCUUAAAGAAGGAAGAAAGGCCAGGUGCGCCAGGGGGCCGUUCACACACGCCAGGUGGCUCGGCACCGCCUCGUACGAAGGAGGCAGGACACUUACUAUGUCUCCGCUUUGCAUGAAGAACUGGAACUGGGGGCAAAACACCUCAGAGCCUCGCACAGGCGCUCCUGGCUAUACAGAGAAAUGGAGUGAGCACGGGACCCACGCUCCGGCUGCUCGUCGGGUCCACCACGCCCCACGGCCCCCCUGUGGGACGCCCGCGUCCACGAGGUCCGCCCUGGAGGAGGUCAGGUGUUUCUUAUUUUCUCAGUUGAAAUGAGUCAAGCAACCCAAUUCAUGAAUUUAUUGCAUUUUCCCCUCCAUUUUUCAUAAUUCUCUCAUUUAUGAGGCCAGAGCUCUCUCCGUAAUUCCCCUUCCAGGAAUCUUCCCUAAGGAAAUAAUCAGAGGCAUAGAUUUAUGGACCAAAACUUUCCUUGCAGAGCUAUUUAUAAUAGGAGAAAAUAGGAAACAACCUAAAUUUCCAACAAAAACAGACCAGUGGGCAGGCCCUGAACAUCUCUCUGUAUAUUUUAAUGACAUUUUAAAAAUGCUUACCAUUCAUGUUAUUUAAAAAAGAAAGACAAGAUAAAAACCCAGUUUCGUUGAGCAUACAUGCCAAUAUGUGCAUAAAGAAGGGCUUUCAGAAAGAUGCUCACGGUGGCAUUCUUGGAACUAUUUGUUUACAUUUUUUAUGUUUUCUACAGUGUGUAUUUUAUCAUCAGGAAAAAAAAGCUGUUUACUAAAAUGCCAAAGUCAUCAAGAGGGCAAUAAAACAAAGACUGGAUUCUUGUAUUAGGGUUCUCCAGAGGGGAAAAAAAUGCAAGAGAGGGGUUUGUUUUAAGGAAUCGGCCCAUGUCAAUGUGCCAGUUGGAGGCCGGCAAAUGCAAACUGCAGGGUAAACCAGCAGGCUCGGGACCCCAGGAAGAGCUGAUGCUGCAGGUCAGACCCAAAGGCAGUCCACUGGCAGAAGUCUGUCUUAUCUAGAGGUCAGUCUUUUUUCUAUUAUGACCGUCAGCUGAUUGGAUGAAGCUCACCCGUGUUAUGGAGGGUAAUCUGCUUUACUCAGAGUCUACUGAUUUAAAUGUUAAUCUUACCUAAAAAAAUACCUUCAUAGGAACAUCUAGAAUAAGGUUUGAGCAAACACCUGGAUGCUUUAGCCUAGCUAAGUUGACACAUACAAUAACC